ACCCGCUGAACUUAAGCAUAUCAAUAAGCGGAGGAAAAGAAACCAACAGGGAUUGCCUUAGUAACGGCGAGUGAAGCGGCAACAGCUCAAAUUUGAAAUCUGGCCUUACGGUCCGAGUUGUAAUUUGUAGAGGAUGUUUCGGGUACCGCCACGGUGUAAAUUUCUUGGAACAGAAUGUCAAAGAGGGUGAGAAUCCCGUCUUCGACCGUGGUAGGGCCUAUGUGAAACUCCUUCGACGAGUCGAGUUGUUUGGGAAUGCAGCUCAAAAUGGGUGGUAAAUUUCAUCUAAAGCUAAAUAUUGGCCAGAGACCGAUAGCGCACAAGUAGAGUGAUCGAAAGAUGAAAAGCACUUUGAAAAGAGAGUUAAACAGUAUGUGAAAUUGUUGAAAGGGGAGCGCUGGCAACCAGACUCGAGCGCGGUGGUUCCCCCUGGCUUCUGCCUGGGUUACUCCACCGUGACCGGGCCAUCAUCGGUUUUGGGGGUCGGUCAAAGGCGCCGGGAAUGUAUCCACUCCUUCGGGGGUGGACUUAUAGCCCGGCGUGUCAUGCGGCCUCCCGGGACUGAGGAACGCGCUUCGGCGAGGAUGAUGGCGUAAUGGUUGUCAGCGACCCGUCUUGAAACACGG
rnacentral:rRNA from 1 species